rnacentral:rRNA from 1 species
UACGUAGGUGGCAAGCGUUGUCCGGAUUUAUUGGGCGUAAAGGGAGCGCAGGCGGUGACUUAAGUCUGAUGUGAAAGCCCACGGCUCAACCGUGGAAGGUCAUUGGAAACUGGGUCACUUGAAUAUAGAAGAGGAAAGUGGAAUUCCAUGUGUAGCGGUGAAAUGCGUAGAUAUAUGGAGGAACACCAGUUGCGAAGGCGGCUCUCUGGACUGUAACUGACACUGAGGCACGAAAGCGUGGGGAGCAAACAGGAUUAGAUA